GCUCCUCCUCACCACUCUGUUAUUAUUAUUACAUGUAGGUGGAGCUCCUCCUCACCACUCUGUUAUUAUUAUUACAUGUAGGUGGAACUCCUCCUCACCACUCUGUUAUUAUUACAUGUAGGUGGAGCUCCUCCUCACCACUCUGUUAUUAUUACAUGUAGGUGGAGCUCCUCCUCAUCACUCUGUUGUUAUUAUUACAUGUAGGUGGAGCUCCUCCUCAUCACUCUGUUAUUAUUAUUACUACAUGUAGGUGAAGCUCCUCCUUCUCUGUUAUUACUAUAAUAUGUAGGUGGAGCUCCUCC
rnacentral:lncRNA from 1 species